GUCCAACGCAACAUGUAAAGCGCUUUGUCAUUGAAAUUCUGAUAAGUAACGUCGUUUUUCAAAACAGUCUCGUUAGUUAAAUGGUAAUUUGCCCUUUGAUAGCUUGUAUGAAAUAACUAGAUGUAUUUAAAUCGUUUGUGAUUACUUUCAAAAGAAGAGCGUAUAAAAUAUAUGUUGUCAACUGUUCCUCGUAAUGAGCAAAGCAAGAUCUAGACAAAGACUAUCCCAGUCUUGGUAUUCAUGGGCGUACCCAGGGGGUGGGGGCAGGGGAGGGCAGCUGCCUCCCCCUGGAAAUCCCACAGAAAAUGUAUG